rnacentral:rRNA from 1 species
UACGGAGGGUGCAAGCGUUAUCCGGAUUUACUGGGUUUAAAGGGUGCGUAGGUGGGUUGGUAAGUCAGUGGUGAAAUACUUUCGCUUAACGAAGGAACUGCCAUUGAUACUACCAGUCUUGAAUACAGUGGAGGUAGGCGGAAUGCGUCAUGUAGCGGUGAAAUGCUUAGAUAUGACGCAGAACACCAAUUGCGAAGGCAGCUUGCUACACGAGUAUUGACACUGAGGCACGAAAGCGUGGGGAUCAAACAGG